CCUGUCCUUCCUUGGGAGGAGAAACUGAACUGACUCUGGGGCAGCAGCAAUCCAUGAAGUUCCCCAGGCUCCUCCAUCCACCUUGGCCACGCUUUGGCUUCGUGUCCAGAGAACCACCACCAGAAACAUCAGCCUUUCUUCAGGGCUUCAGAGCUGCUGGACACAAGCCACAGGAAGCAGAGCCUGGAUAGGAAGGAUGCUCCAAAUCUCUGUAGUGCUGAAGGCUGUGCUUCCCUUUGAAGCUGGACUGGUUUUCCAGCCUUUCCCAGCUUGCUGUUCAUCUGUCUGGCAUCUCUUCUCCCCCAAAUGCACUUCAGGAAUUUCUCUGAUCCCUUCCUUAGCCAGAGGGAAGAGCAGAACAUGUCAUCCCACAUGUCACCCCUCCUCCUCUCAAAACUCAAUCAAGGAAAUGCUCUGUCUUGGGUUGAAAUACAGGAUGUGGCCAGAAAUGUGAAUUCUGUCCCCACCUGGGUGGGGCAGUGCCCCUGAUCUCCUGGCACACAUUAUCUGCUCAUGGGCCAUCUUUAAACCAGCUGGGCAAUCAUCUUUAUCUUCCCACAGCCCAUCCUCCCUCCAGGAGAUAUCUCCUGUUCAUGGCCACUGAGUCCCAGGGCAUGACUGAUAAAAUUCCAUCAUCCCACUGGGAGAUGCUCCAGCCAGGGGAGGAGCCAAGCCUUUCCUAGCCAGAUCAAAACUGACAUUUGGAACAGCAGAGCAGCCUUUGCCACUGGAUUCCAGAGGAAAGCCAGACCUUUCCACAUCAUCCCUGCACCUUCAGAGGAAACUGCACCUUCUC